AGCCAGACUCCUACGGGAGGCAGCAGUGGGGGAUAUUGCACAAUGGGGGGAACCCUGAUGCAGCGACGCCGCGUGAGCGAGGAAGUAUUUCGGUAUGUAAAGCUCUCUCAGCAGGGACGAAAAAAGACGGUACCUGACUAAGAAGCCCCGGCUAACUACGUGCCAGCAGCCGCGGUAAUACGUAGGGGGCAAGCGUUAUCCGGAUUUACUGGGUGUAAAGGGAGCGUAGACGGCAAGGCAAGCCAGAAGUGAGAGGGCAGGGCUCAACCCUGUACACGCUUUUGGAACUGUGGUGCUAGAGUGCAGGAGAGGUAAGUGGAAUUCCUAGUGUAGCGGUGAAAUGCGUAGAUAUUAGGAGGAACACCAGUGGCGAAGGCGGCUUACUGGACUGUAACUGACGUUGAGGCUCGAAAGCGUGGGGAGCAAACAGGAUUAGAUACCCGGGUAGC
rnacentral:rRNA from 1 species